rnacentral:rRNA from 1 species
GGGUUGUGAGGUUAAGCGACUAAGCGUACACGGUGGAUGCCCUGGCAGUCAGAGGCGAUGAAGGACGUGCUAAUCUGCGAUAAGCGUCGGUAAGGUGAUAUGAACCGUUAUAACCGGCGAUUUCCGAAUGGGGAAACCCAGUGUGUUUCGACACACUAUCAUUAACUGAAUCCAUAGGUUAAUGAGGCGAACCGGGGGAACUGAAACAUCUAAGUACCCCGAGGAAAAGAAAUCAACCGAGAUUCCCCCAGUAGCGGCGAGCGAACGGGGAGCAGCCCAGAGCCUGAAUCAGUGUGUGUGUUAGUGGAAGCGUCUGGAAAGGCGCGCGAUACAGGGUGACAGCCCCGUACACAAAAAUGCACAUGCUGUGAGCUCGAUGAGUAGGGCGGGACACGUGGUAUCCUGUCUGAAUAUGGGGGGACCAUCCUCCAAGGCUAAAUACUCCUGACUGACCGAUAGUGAACCAGUACCGUGAGGGAAAGGCGAAAAGAACCCCGGCGAGGGGAGUGAAAAAGAACCUGAAACCGUGUACGUACAAGCAGUGGGAGCACGCUUAGGCGUGUGACUGCGUACCUUUUGUAUAAUGGGUCAGCGACUUAUAUUCUGUAGCAAGGUUAACCGAAUAGGGGAGCCGAAGGGAAACCGAGUCUUAACUGGGCGUUAAGUUGCAGGGUAUAGACCCGAAACCCGGUGAUCUAGCCAUGGGCAGGUUGAAGGUUGGGUAACACUAACUGGAGGACCGAACCGACUAAUGUUGAAAAAUUAGCGGAUGACUUGUGGCUGGGGGUGAAAGGCCAAUCAAACCGGGAGAUAGCUGGUUCUCCCCGAAAGCUAUUUAGGUAGCGCCUCGUGAAUUCAUCUCCGGGGGUAGAGCACUGUUUCGGCAAGGGGGUCAUCCCGACUUACCAACCCGAUGCAAACUGCGAAUACCGGAGAAUGUUAUCACGGGAGACACACGGCGGGUGCUAACGUCCGUCGUGAAGAGGGAAACAACCCAGACCGCCAGCUAAGGUCCCAAAGUCAUGGUUAAGUGGGAAACGAUGUGGGAAGGCCCAGACAGCCAGGAUGUUGGCUUAGAAGCAGCCAUCAUUUAAAGAAAGCGUAAUAGCUCACUGGUCGAGUCGGCCUGCGCGGAAGAUGUAACGGGGCUAAACCAUGCACCGAAGCUGCGGCAGCGACGCUGAUGCGUUGUUGGGUAGGGGAGCGUUCUGUAAGCCUGCGAAGGUGUGCUGUGAGGCAUGCUGGAGGUAUCAGAAGUGCGAAUGCUGACAUAAGUAACGAUAAAGCGGGUGAAAAGCCCGCUCGCCGGAAGACCAAGGGUUCCUGUCCAACGUUAAUCGGGGCAGGGUGAGUCGACCCCUAAGGCGAGGCCGAAAGGCGUAGUCGAUGGGAAACAGGUUAAUAUUCCUGUACUUGGUGUUACUGCGAAGGGGGGACGGAGAAGGCUAUGUUGGCCGGGCGACGGUUGUCCCGGUUUAAGCGUGUAGGCUGGUUUUCCAGGCAAAUCCGGAAAAUCAAGGCUGAGGCGUGAUGACGAGGCACUACGGUGCUGAAGCAACAAAUGCCCUGCUUCCAGGAAAAGCCUCUAAGCAUCAGGUAACAUCAAAUCGUACCCCAAACCGACACAGGUGGUCAGGUAGAGAAUACCAAGGCGCUUGAGAGAACUCGGGUGAAGGAACUAGGCAAAAUGGUGCCGUAACUUCGGGAGAAGGCACGCUGAUAUGUAGGUGAAGUCCCUCGCGGAUGGAGCUGAAAUCAGUCGAAGAUACCAGCUGGCUGCAACUGUUUAUUAAAAACACAGCACUGUGCAAACACGAAAGUGGACGUAUACGGUGUGACGCCUGCCCGGUGCCGGAAGGUUAAUUGAUGGGGUUAGCGCAAGCGAAGCUCUUGAUCGAAGCCCCGGUAAACGGCGGCCGUAACUAUAACGGUCCUAAGGUAGCGAAAUUCCUUGUCGGGUAAGUUCCGACCUGCACGAAUGGCGUAAUGAUGGCCAGGCUGUCUCCACCCGAGACUCAGUGAAAUUGAACUCGCUGUGAAGAUGCAGUGUACCCGCGGCAAGACGGAAAGACCCCGUGAACCUUUACUAUAGCUUGACACUGAACAUUGAGCCUUGAUGUGUAGGAUAGGUGGGAGGCUUUGAAGUGUGGACGCCAGUCUGCAUGGAGCCGACCUUGAAAUACCACCCUUUAAUGUUUGAUGUUCUAACGUUGACCCGUAAUCCGGGUUGCGGACAGUGUCUGGUGGGUAGUUUGACUGGGGCGGUCUCCUCCUAAAGAGUAACGGAGGAGCACGAAGGUUGGCUAAUCCUGGUCGGACAUCAGGAGGUUAGUGCAAUGGCAUAAGCCAGCUUGACUGCGAGCGUGACGGCGCGAGCAGGUGCGAAAGCAGGUCAUAGUGAUCCGGUGGUUCUGAAUGGAAGGGCCAUCGCUCAACGGAUAAAAGGUACUCCGGGGAUAACAGGCUGAUACCGCCCAAGAGUUCAUAUCGACGGCGGUGUUUGGCACCUCGAUGUCGGCUCAUCACAUCCUGGGGCUGAAGUAGGUCCCAAGGGUAUGGCUGUUCGCCAUUUAAAGUGGUACGCGAGCUGGGUUUAGAACGUCGUGAGACAGUUCGGUCCCUAUCUGCCGUGGGCGCUGGAGAACUGAGGGGGGCUGCUCCUAGUACGAGAGGACCGGAGUGGACGCAUCACUGGUGUUCGGGUUGUCAUGCCAAUGGCACUGCCCGGUAGCUAAAUGCGGAAGAGAUAAGUGCUGAAAGCAUCUAAGCACGAAACUUGCCCCGAGAUGAGUUCUCCCUGACUCCUUGAGAGUCCUGAAGGAACGUUGAAGACGACGACGUUGAUAGGCCGGGUGUGUAAGCGCAGCGAUGCGUUGAGCUAACCGGUACUAAUGAACCGUGAGGCUUAACCUUACAACGCCGAAGCUGUU